AAAACAGUUAUAGCGCCAGUACUGAAGAAAUCGUGAAUCUUCAGUAGACGAGGUGGAGGAGUAUCGAAGUUUUCGGCGGAUGCCUCCCGAUCGCAAUGCCCGAUCGUUAUCUUGCUUUUAAAGGACUCAAGUGAUUGAGUAGACAGGGAAGCAAGAAGGCAAAUUA
rnacentral:ncRNA from 1 species